UGGGGAAUUUUGGACAAUGGGGGCAACCCUGAUCCAGCCAUUCCGCGUGAGUGAAGAAGGCCUUCGGGUUGUAAAGCUCUUUCAGCAGGAACGAAACGGUGGUCCCUAAUACGGGUUACUAAUGACGGUACCUGAAGAAGAAGCACCGGCUAACUCCGUGCCAGCAGCCGCGGUAAUACGGAGGGUGCGAGCGUUAAUCGGAAUUACUGGGCGUAAAGCGUGCGUAGGUGGUUCGUUAAGUCAGAUGUGAAAGCCCUGGGCUCAACCUGGGAACUGCAUUUGAAACUGUUAGACUUGAGUACGAGAGAGGUGAGUGGAAUUCCCAGUGUAGAGGUGAAAUUCGUAGAUAUUGGGAAGAACACCAGUGGCGAAGGCGGCUCACUGGCUCGUAACUGACGCUCAGGCGUGACAGCGUGGGGAUCAAACAGG
rnacentral:rRNA from 1 species